AUUGUAACAUUUAUUUUGGAAAAUCAGGAUAUGAAUUGAAGAACAAUGUGAAAUUUGUCCAAAAAGGAUGCAUGCGGGUUCUCAGUCACAAUGUGGUAAAUGAGCCAGCGUGAGUGCUAAUUUCUUUACCAGCUAUCAAGCAUUCUCUUAGCUAAUUUUCAAAAGCCUUUGCAAUACACAAAACUAUCAUAAAAGUCCAAAUGUCCAGGCUGCAGUAACAUCUUUUCCUUGAAAAUUGCAUUAUUUAUUCAUGUUUAUCUGUUUACAAUAAAUUAGAAAAAAAAAUAAAAAUGUACAGCCAUAACAUACUUCAGAGAAUGGAACCAUUUGUUCUUGAUGAGAAAACAUUGUUUUCUUUGGGAUUUGUUUGAGCAAAAAGUCAGCAAUAAGAGUACUUAACAUAGUAAAAUCCUUUAUUUUUCAGUUCUAUGGGUGGUUUAAAAUCAUUUUAGACACAUAGGUUAAGGAUUUAGGCAAAUAAAAGAUUACUUUGAUGUACUCACCUUCAAGUCUCUCUAUACCAGCUUAUGCAAUGCCACACUUUCCCACCACUUCUUUGGAUUAGACUGCAAAAUUGAUAUCGUUCAAAUACACAAAAAGCAUAAAUGACUUCAAUGAAAAUAUAAUUCUUGCUGUGUCAGAGACUACUACAUACUCCCUAAAUGAAUAUAAACCAUUUAGGACUAGAACUGAAGAAGAAUAAAGCUGAUAUUAAAACAAACAACAACAACAAAACAACUCCUGCAAAUUAACUAUUAAUGUCCAUACUAUCCUGUGUAAAAAGUCGCCUACAACACCUUUGGUUUUGAGGAGUGAUAAUGACUGCCAUAUGGUCACUGGAAGUUGUAUCACUGUCUCCAGGUUUCAGCACUGUUCUCCUGAAUGGACUGAUAGAUGUGGAAAUGCAAAGUCCAGUGUCCUUUAAAGUUAACAGGAAAACCUUCAGUAACUAAUUAUGAUUACAUCUCUGUGUGUAAAAUAAAUAGGACCAAGACCCAGUUUUCCCAGGUUCUACAACAUUAUUCAACCGGCUUCCAUAGCAAACUUACCUAAACUUGGACCUCAUACCUAAUUCUCCCAAAAAAGGUUGUUUCACUUUUCAGUUUAAUUUCAUUCAGGUGAGAAUAUGCUUAUUUUCUGGGGAUAUCAACCUGGAUUUCAUCCUUUUGGUUUCAGUUGGGUGCAUAGGUUCUCAGCUGGUAUCCUGUGGACACUGUAGCAGAUAAGCUUAGCGCUGAGAUCAACGAUGAGAAAAUUCAUACCGAGUAUUACAGGAUAACAAAAGGAAGAAGCUGUCAGAUUUCUUAACAUGGCUCUUUGUGUCAGAAAUAUGAUUCAUAGGGUGAUGUAUGUCCAGUCCAGACACUCAGGGAGUGUAUCUGCACACUGCCCUGUGUAUCCAAUUAGAGAAAGCUCACUUAUGAAGUACAUUUCUCUUCCACAAUAUAUGUGAGGGCCAAGAUGGAGGCAAUGAAAUAUUCACAGAAAUGCAGACAAGUCAUGAAAAGUCCAUUUUUUAAAUCCUACCAUCCCGUUUUGAAAAGGAGCUAGAAAUGUAAACCAAGCUAUUGUGUGACUCUUGCACAAAUUAGCUCUCUGAGAAUCCAAAAUAGAACAGAUUUAUGCUAACAACAGGCUGAGGGAGAUUACUUGCAAACAACAAAGGCAGCCUGGCCAGCAGUUUAGGCCUUCUCUUGUUAAGAAAAUUUUCCCAUCUGUAACUAAAUCAAUUAGUUAUACCAGUGCAAAACCCUGAUAGAGACAUGCUGCACCAGCAUGAAUUGGGGCUUAAAGCCAUUUAGGUUAAUUCAAUAAAUCCUUGUCAGCAUUGCUUUGAAGCAAAGGAUACCAUGGAAGCAAGAGUUUAUCUGGGGUAAAGGGACUGACUGACAUGUAGGUAGGUAUCGAGCUGUCAUUCUUCUGGUUAUGAGCAUGUGCAGCUGGGAGAAUAUAUGUGGCAGGUCUGAUUUGGAUCUCAUCUCAAGCCUGUGUAAUGAGGAAUGACGCUCUUUCCCUUGCAGCCCUUUCUAUUCAAUAACUGAUCUUAAACUAAUUUUCAAACUCUUUAAUCUUGAGAUGCAACAUGACAAUUAUAAAUGCUGACCCUUAACACACUAUCUCUUCUGGAAUAAGACCAGACUGUCAUCUUUCUCUCCAUCUCUCUCUUCUCAGCCUUCCCAUUUUCUGUGUGGCAGCCCAGCCAAGCCUACCACUUUCUUCCUUGUCAGAAGCACUGGUGUCUGCAGGAAGGCACAACACAACCCUCAGAAUUGCUGCAUGAGGUGGGUUCUUCCUCACUAAUAACUUGCUGGUUCAGAGAUGUGCUCUGAGGAGGUCAUCAGUGGUGUUACAAGAAGAAAGAGCAGCUACAACAGAGGAGCGCUGCCGUAUUCCCCUCAUUGACGCCGACACUGGUCACUGGCUGGGGCUCGGAGGAAGACAGCGGGACGUCAGAGACGAUGCAAGAGGGCUCAUCUUCUCUCUGGGCUUUCCAGUCCUUAAAACUCCAGGUUUUCAUCCACAGACAAGCCACAUGUUUGGCACUCCCAGGCUGAUUUCAAGAUGGACAGACCAAUGGCCAUUAAGAACAUACCUUUCUUCAUCCUAGUGCCUGAUUCAGCUUCUUUUAGGUUAUAAAAUCAAAGGAUUCCUUAUAAACUACAUGGGGGUAAUUGGGACAAAUGAAAAAAAUGAUCAUUGCUUUUGUUGUACUGAAUAUGUUUGUGUAAUACACAAACAUAGAUGUUUUUGUGUGUGUCCUAUAUAUAUAAUGUAUGAUUUAAAGUCUAGUAAAGGGUGUUAGGACAGACUGAGCUGGAUGGAUGUAUCAGAUAUAUCUAGACAGUGCUAUUUCCCUUGGCAAGGUCGUCCACAUUCUAGUGAUCUGCAGCCUGAACUUGUCCUGAGUAUCCUCAUUGUAAUAAUUCUGAAUUUUUUUUUUACAUGAAUUUUCCCAGUUGCUUUCUGAACGCAUGUAAAAUUUGGCAUCUACUACACUGACCUCCCACGACAAUCAAGUGCACAGUUUAGCUCUUCACAGUGUACUUAAAUUCCUCCUCUUUUUGUGUCUGAGACAUCUUAGUUAGAUUUUAUGUUCUUCUGAUGUUGUAAGACUCAGUGAAUAAUAACUUUCUAUCUGUCUCUUCUUUCUGCUCAUGUUUUCAUCAUGUCCCUCACAUCUAUCCCUCUGUUAUGUUUUUUCCAAGCUGAAGUGUUCUUCUCUAGUUAGUUGUCUUUCAUACAGAAGCUGGUCCUCUGAUCAUCCUUCCUCUUUCCAGCCUAUUUUAAUGUUACAAUAUACUUUUCAAGACUGAAGAGAUAGAACCAUCUGUAUUAUUGAAGUUAUGGUCAGAAUAGGUUUAAAUAAUCAUGUAGUGAAGUUUGCUGCUGUUGUCAUCAUCCUAGUGCUUCCUACCAUUCAUCUUAUUUGCUUGACUCUUCUUAUUUGCUUGACCAGUACAGAGUGUUGAGCUAACAUUAUGAAUAUGACGUGUAGAUCUUUUUUCUAAACACGUCAAAUUGCAUUUAUCAACUUGAAAUAUAUCUGCCUUUUUAUUGCUUCAUACAAUCCAUUGGCAAUACUCUAGACAUUUUGGGCUUACUUAAGUUGAAUAGCUUAGCAUCCUUGGCAAAUUCAAAUUCUAGACCUUUUAUGCAUA